GUUACCCGUCCGCGCGCGUGGGCUCCGGCGCGUUGGGGCUCAGCGUUGGCCGGACGCCCCCGCUCCCGGUGCGCGGGGGGACGCCGUUCCCCGGGGCCUCUGCGAGCGGCGUCCUGGGGAAUUGGAGACCUGGAGGGCUUGCGAGGUCAUCGCGGGAAAGCCCGAGACCCGGCUUGGGAAUCCCUGCGCGGGCAGCAGGGCGGUUACGAACGUGGCUCUGCGAAAACAGCUGUGCGGCUUGAGAUGAACCUGAGAUAGCUUAAAAAAAAAAAAAAAAACUGCUGUGAAAUGUGCACCUGAACCUGAUUGGCAUUCCUAAAGGGAUUCCCAGGAGAAUUAGUUGUAGAGGCCACUUUUAGGCAACAGGCAUAAUAAGCACUUGGAAACCUGAGUCGGGCAGAGGUGCCCACAGUGACCAGGGGACUGAAUGCAAACAGACUCAUUAGGCGACCCACCUGAAAAUAGCCAUAGACCUAAGCUGAGGAAUGGGCUACCUGCAACCGGGCACAGGUGAAUUCUUUUACCUCUGAUGCCACCAGCCUCCACCCAAUCUGGACACACCCACAUCUGUCUUCUCCACCGCAAGCACUGCUGUAGCCCAGAAGUCAACUGAAGGUUAUACCUAACCGUAAUCCCACCAUCUUGCACAGUGCCUGCCAAGAGUAGAUGCUAAAAUGUGUGUCUGUUGAAUGAAAGAACUGUCCCUAAGACCACCUCAACAGACUUUGCCCAGAGUUCAAACUGGAAGACUUUUAGUAAGAUCAGAAGCCCCACUUGGUCAGCCAUUAAACUUUGAAAAAGAGAUCAACUGCCCUAAUUCCACUAUUGAAUUGUUUUGCUUAGCAAAUACAGUGUAUUGUUCUUGUAUUGAACUUUGGCUUCAUGGAGGGAUCAGUCGCCCCAUUUUUUUUUAAUGUUUUUAAGCGUUACUGAGUUGCUCAUUUGGCCUAACUGGUGUGGCAGA